UAUUAUAUUUUGUUGUGAAUAAGUUUAAUAAUGGUAGACUUAUGUCAACAGGACAGGGAUAUAUGACAUCUGUAGGUGAUCUAGGAUCAUUGAGGGUAUUGUGAUAAUUUUAAGUAGGUAUGCAAUAUCUAGACAGGUUGAUUUUUCUAAAACUCAAGAGUGCAACCAAGGAGACAAUGAGACAUUUAGUCAAUAUUUGGAAACAACCCAUAUUAUGAGAAAAAGCUGGAGACAGAUAAAUAGAAGGGCAGACUGAGAAAUCCUCCCCUACACUGCUGAAACCUUCAGGGUUGGGGAGUAGCAGGAAGAAAGGAGGGGGGCCAGCAGGAGUAGAUAGGAAGAGAAUUUGGUUCACUAAGCUCUAGGAUAUUAAUUCAUGGAGAGACUAUCGGCUCCGUUGGCAGGCAUAUAUUUUAGUUUUGAUUUUAAGUUUAUGUUUGGUAAAUUCGAUAGGAGGAGAUUAGUAUCAUUUUGUUGAAAGUAAUUGUUACCCUAACUAAAAGGGCUUAGUUGGUUUCAGGUGUUAGACACUGAACCAUUGCCCAGACACUAUUCUGCACAGUAGGCCGAAAUAGUAGCAUUGACUAGAACCGGUGAAAUAAGAAAGGAGAGAAAAGUUACUAUUUACACAGACAAGCACAUAGACAUUUAAAACCAUACAAAACAGCACAGAUAAAUCUUAAAGAAGAUAAAACACUUGACAGAGAAUUGUUACAGAAUAGCCGAGGAUGAAGGCCCCAGGGAGAAUUGGACAUGUGGAAAAUGAAAGGGGGCAUCCUAUAAGAGAAGGUCUGACAUAAGGAUAAUUUACUUAUCCUAUCAAAGACAUUGUAUGGAUACGCAGCAAUAUUGAUACAUAGGCUAAGCAAUGUAUCAAGGGGAGGGAAGUAUAGUAGAGUAGUUAGGAAAGAGUGAUGGCCUAGAGGAUAAUUACUUAAAA